rnacentral:rRNA from 1 species
AUACGUAGGGGGCGAGCGUUAUCCGGAUUUAUUGGGCGUAAAGCGUGUGUAGGCGGUUUGUUAAGUUUAAGAUUAAAGCCCGAGGCUUAACCUCGGUUCGUCUUAAAAACUGGCAGCAUUGAGUGCCGUAGAGGCAAGUGGAAUUUCUAGUGUAGCGGUUAAAUGCGUUGAUCUUAGAAGGAACACCAGUGGCGAAAGCGGCUUGCUGGGCUGUUACUGACGCUGAGACACGAAAGCGUGGGGAGCAAAUAGGUUUAGAUACCCUGGUAGUCCACGCCGUAAACGAUGAGUACUAAGUGUCGGGUAACCGGUGCUGAAGUUAACACAUUAAGUACUCCGCCUGAGUAGUACGGUCGCAAGGCUGAAACUCAAAUGAAUUGACGGGG